rnacentral:rRNA from 1 species
GCCUACAGGUAGCUGAGGGGAGGGACAGAGGGGUGUGGAUAUUUGGGGGUGGGGACUGCGUCGCCUCCGGUGUAGUCCGGGCGGCACUGUAGGGGACUGUCAGAAGGGGAAAGAGCGAUGGCUUCCAUGCGCGUGGGCGAGGAGCGGAGGCAGUAGGUCUGGACCUAAAGUCAAUGGUGAAGGAGUUAAGAGGGACGUAGCAUCGGCCAGCGUUCGGGAUGGCUAGCUGCUCUAGCUCGGCUCGCUAACGGAUCGGGCACGGGCAUGAGUCAAGCUAGAAACGCUCAUCUAAGUCGCGGCGAGUCAAGCCAAAAGCGCUCAUCUAAGUCGCGUCGAGUCAAGCUAAAAAAAUGCUCAUCUAAGUCGUUUCAAAAAGACUUAAAAGCACCGUUAAAAAGGGACUAGACCGGCGAGGUUAGUCGGUACCACUUCCUCCGCGGGUGGUGUGGCUCGCGGUUCCCGUUCCCGUUCCCGCGGCGCAGGCGGAGGCGCGGCUGCGGCGGCAGGUUCAGGCGGGGGCCUAGCCGGUCCGCGUUCUCCCACAUAUUCUUCUUCUUCCGGCUAGGCCUCUUCUUCUUCCGCCGGCGGCGGCGACGUCAGCGCCGGAGGCGGCUGCGUGGACGAAGCCCCGGGUGCGGCCACCAAGGGCGAGGCCGGCUGCAGCCCCGAAGCCGGCGGGAACACCAGCGGCUCUUGCCGCCGCGACUACCCUUCUACCAGCGGUUCCGGUUGCCACUACCGCUAUUCAGGCAGCGGUUCCGGUUGCCACUACCGCUAUUCAGGCAGCGGCUCUUGUUCCCACUACCGUCAUUCAGGCAGCGGCUCUUGUUCCCACUACCGUCAUUCUACCCGUCACCCUUGUCGUCACGACUGUCCUUCUCCCCGUCCUUCCUAUUCUACUCCCCCUCCCGCUUCCCCCUUCCUGUCCCCUCCCACUUGGGCUUCCACCUCCUCUUCCUCUUCUUCCUGCUACGUCACCCCCUCCUCUCCCCGUCACGACCCAAAUAGAAGUACACGUCGCGUUUCUGCUUCGGCCUCACGAAGGUCUUGUCACACAAACCGAACGGGUUCCCCUUCUAUCUACACCACCUCUUCUAGGCUGGUCCCCGCUUCGACAAGGACAUACUGAAACUGGACUUCGAAGAGAUACCCCACAUGUUCCGUUGCCGUUCUCCUCCCUACCUAGAACACGCUGCACGCAAGUUACCCUUUAAGGGACGAGUCCAGUUUAAGUCCUAACUAUUUCUAACAGAAGGCGAAGGACUCUCAUCAAAGUUCGUACGGUAAUUCCUCUUGAUGUUAAGUUUCCCUUUUAAGUGGGUUCUCGAGUUAAGAUCUGUUCAGGCAUUCGAUGAUCGUGAUAUGUUCGGUCAAUUGUAUGUAGCCGGUAGAAGGGUUGUACAAGUUCUUCAAGCAGCCUGUUUGGCACAACUCCCCGCGUACGGAGUGAUACAACUUCUUUCCGCUGUCGGUAUACUAAUACUUCUUUCCGCCGACGGUGCUGUAGUACUUCUUUACGUUGUGGGUGUUAAACAACUUCCUUCCUCUAAUCGGAUACUAAUACUUCUUUCUUCCGGUAGUGAGGUACAACUCCUUUAAGCUGCGGGUGUCAAACAACUUCUUCAAGUCGGUGGAUGUAUGAUAGUACAACGAGGACGAGGAGUACCAAGAAUGGUAGGUGUAGUUCGAUUACAGUAAAUACUUUCCCGAGGUCCACUAGGGCGAUCGUCCCACCUAGGUAAGGAAGGUUCUCUGAUGUCCGACGGCGGUGUCCUCCAUCGGCGCGUGGGGUCGAUGCGACUGCUCUAGAUGGCACCACGACGAAUGGGUCGGCGAGUCCUGGGCAGGAUGCGCCGGUCCGGGCGACGAAUGGGCCGUUUGGAGGUCCCCGGACGACGAAGUUCCCACGGCCACAGGAGGGAGAUGAGCAAGCGGCCUCGUGGCCGCAUGUCUACUAGCGAUGUCGCCGACGAGACUUUAGCCAGGACUGGUCGUACUAAGCGACCAACCACCACAUCGAUCGCAGCAGAAGACUAUGUAUGACAUCAGCAAACAACCUAUGGACUGAACCUACAGCAAACGGUGUUCACACCAUGACCUUGCACAGCAAACGGUGUUCACACCACGACCUUGCACAGCAAGCGACAAUUUGUUCACUGAAAGGACUGUUCACGACGGCACCAGAACGUUCA